ncrna:unclassified sequences L13-Bacteroidia ribosomal protein leader
GCAGGCAGAAAACCUGCAAAGCGCGUGUUAAUAGUAACGCCAAUUUUGGCCGGGCGUUAUGGUUAGUGAAUC